ensembl:rRNA 5S_rRNA 5S ribosomal RNA
GUCUAUGGCUAUACCACCCCGAACGUGCCUGAUCUUGUCUGAUCUCAGAAGCUAAGCAGGGUAGGGCCUGGUUAGUACUUGGAUGGGAGAAUGGUGGACAGAGAAGGGAAGACAGAGGCUGUCAACA